UGUACCUAGCCUUAUCCUUUCUCACGAGAAAUAUCGAUGAGUGCAGGCAAUAUUGAGGUUCGAAGUCGAAAUAUUGGCUUUUUUAGUGUGUAAUUAGAAAUAUGUGCUGUCACGCAUUAUUGUAACGUGACAAGAAAUUAUGAAUACGCCAAAAAAGGGUUUGAGCGGAUUCAUCUCUUUGCUCAAAGUACGAAAGAGAGGAAAAACCGGAUCCUAUCCAAGAAAUUUGUAACCCAGGCUCAGGAAAUCGUACCCUGGUCCCAGAGCCUCGAGCGUCUCUCUAUUCAGAGAGACCUCGCCUGCUCGCUGACCACUAAAGAGACGCACGAGGCUCUGGAACCAGGGCGCUAGUUAGACGGAAAUCCCGAGCUGGAAUAGCCGAUCUUCGUUGCGCGAAAAAAACGGAGGCGAUAUCGUGCAGAUUGCGGCUCCCCACUUUGGCAGGCUAGCUUUCAACAAGAGACUAUUACAAACUCACCAGAAAACCGCUUUCCACCUAUGCGCCUGCAGUUAGGAGAAAACACGUGACCACAAGGGCAAGCCCGAUUGGUGGAUGCAACCUGCAGAACAAAAUGAUACCAGUCACCACUGGCAUACCAACCUACUUUUCAGACGUUAGAAAUACCGCUUAUUCUGAAUAAAUACACAUCACAAA